rnacentral:rRNA from 1 species
UACGAAGGGGGCUAGCGUUGUUCGGAAUUACUGGGCGUAAAGCGCGCGCAGGCGGUCUUCCAAGUCAGUGGUGAAAGCCCGGAGCUCAACUCCGGAAUUGCCAUUGAAACUGUGAGACUGGAGUACGAGAGAGGUGAGUGGAAUUCCCAGUGUAGAAGUGAAAUUCGUAGAUAUUGGGGAAGAACACCGGUGGCGAAGGCGGCUCACUGGCUCGUAACUGACGCUCAGGCGCGACAGCGUGGGGGAUCAAAACAGG